AUGUGGCGCCCAGCGGUUAGGCGCUGCGCCACUGGCUGUGGGGCCGCGCCUGGCCCCGGGCUGCCACGCUGGCCGGGGGUGCGACGCCUAAGAAAAAGGCGUUGCACGGUAGUGUGCAGCGCCUUGCUGUCGGGCGCCACACGAAAGGGUCAGCAGCGUGAUUUUUUUUCGAAAGCAGUUCAAAUCUUGAAUCGUUUUUGUCCACAGGUCCAAAUAUGUAUUUUCUGCCUGCGUCGCGCGUGCCGUGAGCGGCUGCUUUUGCCGUUCGCUGCUUUGGCUGGUUGGUUACUGCCGUUUCUGCACCCGCGCAUGUGUUGUACCAAUGACGGGUGGGCGAUGCUGCCCCUGAUGACGGGUGGGCCGGCGCUGCUCCUGUUCCCGCUCGACGGCUGCACUGGAUGCGCGUCUCGUCGGGCACCGCAGCAGGAGGGUGCGGUGUGGGUGCCCCCAACCCAUAGCUGCCACACAACCCUUUCUCCUCCUCACCCCUCCCUUCCUCGUCAACACAGCCGCCGCGCCACCUCGCUCCUCCGGUCCUCCCUCCCCCUCAGCCCCAGAAGCUCUUCCUCUUCUUUCGACAAGAUCCAUCGCCUCACGAGCUCCUUAUCCACCCCAGCUUGUGAGGAAGCCGUGGGAGGAGGAGCUCAACCGGGUGUCGCCGGCCGGAGAAGGAGGAGAGGCGCGGAUGCCAGCCAGGGAGGCGGAUCGGUUCGCCUCCGCUGCUUCGUGAGCGCCGCCGCCUCCUCUGCAUCCACCUUGCUCCGCAUAACAGCAUUUGUGCAGAAGCGGGGACAGGCGACCACGAACAGAUGGCGUCGGCGGCAACGGCAACACGCACGGUGCAUGAGGUCCGGUAAGAUGGGCUCGGCCUCCCCACAUGCGUUUAGGAUGGCGUGCCAGAUGGCUCGGAACGCGCGCGCCCGGCUCACAAGAGGUAUGCUUCAGAGCACGGCGGCGGCAACGUGCACCGCGAGGUCCCGGAGCAGCCCAGCCAGAGCCCCUCUGUACUGGAGGAACCCUGCGUCUCCAUCCUCACCUCCACUCACAGAGGGAGAGAGAAGGAAGGAAAUGAGGGAGAAAGAGAGGAAGGGGAGAGGGAGGCGCGGCAUCGAACGGGUGAGGGUCACCGGUCUGCACCGGCGAGGUCGGGCACGACCUGGUGCUUGGUGGUGGCUCGAUCCGCUCCUUGGAUCAGGGCCUCCAGGACCAACAAGGAGGCUCUCAGGCUCGUCUUCUAACCUGCAGCAGCCUAUACAGGCAGCGGAAGCGCCGGUCAGACCAUGGGGGCGGCUUGGUCGAGCUACAACGAGCGCAUCUGAUUCAAAAUAUAUGUUGUCAUGUGCUUGCUUCAGAUUUCUGUGUCCGGAUGACUAUAUGAACAAAACUCACAAGGUUGUUGAUACUGGAGUUAUUGGCUUUCUGCUGCAAACUGAAAUAAUUCCUCUGUGCUUGCCUACCAUGGAGGUGGGCAGUGAGCUAUCAAAAACUGAAUGUGGCUAA
rnacentral:rRNA from 1 species